AACGGAUAUCUCGGCUCUCGCCACGAUGAAGAAUGUAGCGAAAUGCGAUACUUAGUGUGUAAUGCAGAAUCCCGUGAAUCAUCAAGUCUUUGAACGCRAGUUGCGCCCGAGGCCUCGGCCAAGGGCASGUCUGCUUGGGGUCGC
rnacentral:rRNA from 1 species